rnacentral:rRNA from 1 species
UACGGAGGGUGCAAGCGUUAUCCGGAUUCACUGGGUUUAAAGGGUGCGUAGGCGGUCUAUUAAGUCAGUGGUGAAAGCCCCAAGCUCAACUUGGGAACUGCCAUUGAUACUGAUGGACUUGAGUACAUUUGAGGUGGGCGGAAUGUGUCAUGUAGCGGUGAAAUGCUUAGAUAUGACACAGAACACCGAUUGCGAAGGCAGCUCACUAAACUGUAACUGACGCUGAGGCACGAAAGCGUGGGGAGCAAACAGG